GGAUUACCUGAAACCGUCUACAGGCCGUGGAGGCGACCUUCGUGUCUGCGCAAGAGCAUACAGGCCCGGUGAGCGUCAGCCCGUCGGUGGACCGAGGAAGACCGUCGCGGAGCGGCGUCGACCGUUCGUCGUGUGUUGGCGUUCGACUCGGGGGGACUGGUUCCAGUGCCCUCGGACCGCGCCGGCGCAGCGGCGGGCGCGCACGGCGUCGCGCCUGGGGUCGGUGGCGAAACGGCCGGCAACCUGUCCGACCCGUCUUGAAACACGGACCAAGGAGUCUAACAUGUGCGCGAGUCGUUGGGCGCUACGAAACCCGAAGGCGCAAUGAAAGUGAAGGCCCGGUCUCCGGCCGGCCUGGGUGGGAUCCCGGCGGUCUCGGCCGUCGGGCGCACCACCGGCCCGUCUCGUUCGUUACGUCGAGGAGGCGGAGCAAGAGCGUACACGUUGGGACCCGAAAGAUGGUGAACUAUGCCCGAGUAGGACGAAGCCAGAGGAAACUCUGGUGGAGGUCCGCAGCGAUUCUGACGUGCAAAUCGAUCGUCAAACUUGGGUAUAGGGGCGAAAGACUAAUCGAACCAUCUAGUAGCUGGUUCCUGUCGAAGUUUCCCUCAGGAUAGCUGGCGCUCGUCGUGAGCAGUUUUAUCCGGUAAAGCGAAUGACUGGAGGCCUUGGG
rnacentral:rRNA from 1 species